CCUUUCUAAGGCCCAAGAGGGGAAGGCAUGCAAUGGGCUCUAUCCCUACUUCUAGCUUUCCUGCUUACUGCCAGUCAGAUAUCUUGCAACCUGGAAGGGAGAACGAUGGUAAUCAUCAAGAAAACCGGGUCGUCUAUUAUUAUCCCUUGUGAUAUUCCAGAAAGUACCAACUAUAUCCACUGGUACCUAUUGCAGGAGGGCAAGGCCCUACGACGCCUUCUCUACUAUGACUUAUUUCAAUUCAGGCUUACAGUAGAAUCAGGAUUCAGUUCAGAGAAAUACUUUGCUUAUGCAAGCACAGGGAAGAACUCUAGGUUUGUACUCCAAUAUCUGGAAGCAAGUGACUCUGGUGUGUAUUACUGUGCCACCUGGCACAGCCACAGUGACUCAGACCUGCCCUAUGCCACACUAGAAACCUUGCCUGUGGCUGCUCCUGGUACACAAGAUAGAUCAGUCCCUGUCUACCUUCCUGCCCUGACUUCACUGAGUUUUUGUUUUGGUAUUCUGGUUUUAUACAUUUUAAUCAAUCGUUUAUUUUCUGUUUUUUGACCUUAACUUGAAUACAUGCCACAACUUCAUGAUUAUCCAUAAAGAAAUGUAUAGGAUUUAUUUUUAUUUAUUUAUUUAUUUAUUUAUUUUGAGACAGAGUCU